CUUUCUUUUAAAGGGACUAGAAAAUCCACCGAAGAAAAAUCGUUGCUUUGUAAACAGCUUAUUGCAAUGUCUGGCAAGUGGCAUCGUGUAUUCCAGUGAAAUCCCCCAGCGGAAGCGACCUUUCGUGGUUGUUGUAUUACUUAGCACGAAUAUACAUCAAAGUCAGACAAGAAGAUGUAUCCCAGAAAUUGGAGAGCCUUGCGUCUAAACUCGUGAAUUCGAACAAUCCCGAUGAUCCAGUGCCUGUCGUGGAGUUGAAAGGGUGCAGUUAGUAUGCCGAGGUUGUGGAAAACAUAACGAGCACCAGGAUGUUGUCUUCACAGUUUUAAACCUGCCAAGUAGAGAAAAAUGUCUUCAAACCGUGGAAAAUAUGCUGCUAAACUACUUCGAGCUGGAAGAUAAGGAACUUAAAUCUUCAUUUUGUGUCUGUGAAGAAAAAGAGAAAGAUAUCGUAGAAUUGCGACAGCCAAUGAAACUACCAUCAAGUCUAAUUUGCAACAUCCUCCCAGUAACAAAGAAUGGGGAAAAACAGCAUGUUCGCCUUAAGUUACAGGAAUUAAUUGGCGUUCACGACCUGUUGGGACGAAGACAGACAAACUUUCAGCUUUUAUAACACACUAUGGAAUUGAUGCAAAAGAGGGUCAUUUCAACUGUACAGUUUUACGAAAUAAAAGGUGGUUUCUAAUCGACGACAAACUGGUCAAGCCACAACUGUUGUGCGAAACCAUCUUCAACGGAGACGUAUAUAAUCAUGCUGUUUUACAGCACAGAAGAACAUUUUGAGGUUCAAAUUAUGACUGAUGAAAGUACAUCGAUAUCAGAGCAAGGUUGAGAGGUAUUCGGAUUUGCGCAAGGGACAUCAGCUACAUCACAUUGUACCACACAUCAACGGAACCGUCGGAACGCCGUUAAUGUAUUACGACAUCAAGCUGCUUGAUCAAGCGCCUUCCGACUAUGAAAAAACAUUGCUUGAACAAUACGCAACCAAACAUGGAGAAACCUAUAACGAAGGAUGGCUAAAUGAUAAGAUAAUAAACAAUUUUCUAAUCGAGUACAAAGAAAAUCUCAGGGUACCAAUCGUGUAGCAGUCAUGAGCAGCUUCAUGUACACAAAACUAUGCAAAUAUGGCGUCCAUUCCAUAACGAGAUGGAUUCAAAAAGGAUGGAUUCGUUUCUUCCACAAAAA